UACGGAGGAUGCGAGCGUUAUCCGGAUUCAUUGGGUUUAAAAGGUGCGUAGGCGGGAUAGUAAGUCAGUGGUGAAAUCCUGCAGCUUAACUGUAGAACUGCCAUUGAUACUGCUUUUCUUGAGUUCGGUUGAGGUAGGCGGAAUGUGUAAUGUAGCGGUGAAAUGCUUAGAUAUUACACAGAACACCGAUUGCGUAGGCAGCUUACUAAGCCGCAACUGACGCUGAGGCACGAAAGCGUGGGGAGCGAACAGG
rnacentral:rRNA from 1 species